rfam:Schistosoma mansoni, Puerto Rico, WGS project CABG01000000 data, contig: 0041
GUCCGGCUGACCAGUCCCAAAUAGGACGAAACGCGAGUCAAACUGGAU